ensembl:lncRNA
CUGGGAUUGACAUGUAAAACAAGUUUGUUUCUAAUUUAAAUUAAAAAAAAUCUGAAAAAAAAGAAAGAAAAGAGGCCUGGAAGGCUGUCAGGAAAUGAUUCUAAAUGCUAUAACCCCAGGAAAUACCAGGGAAGAAUACACCAACUGUUUAGAAGAAAAAAAUAUUUUAUACAGUUAAAUAGUUGGCUGGAAUUUCUGGUGUUAUGCAUAAAAUUGAUGGGGGUGUCACUGGAUAAAGUAUUUCAAGGACAACUUUUACAAUAAACAGAUUUCCCAGGAAACAAAACAAAGCAAAACAAAACAGAAACAAACAAACAAACAAAACGACAAGGUGUACGGGGGAGGGGCAAAGAUAGCUGGGAGCUUCUGGGCCUGGAAACUUGCAAAAUAACAGUGAGAGGUAAGAAAAUAGAGGGAGGAGAUAUUUGAGCCACACAGUGAUUUUUAAAUAAACCCUAGGGCUGGAAGAACAGUGCUCAGUCAAGGAGGACGCAAGUGUGAGGUACGAACCCAGUUACAUAAAUUGUGAGAGGGAAGGAUACUGGGAUAUCUAUAAUGAAAUGAGCAUCUGUGCCCUGGACCACCCUCACUGGCCACUGCACAGACUCCUGCCUCACUUGUGGUGCUUCUCAGGCUGGCAAAGUGCACCCUCUGAUGUUUGUGGCCUCUAUUCGUGCCGUGCUUUCAUGGUGGCUCUGUGGUUACUGUGGAGUAAGGGGAACAGAGAAGGUGAAAAUGGCACAGACUUUGAGUUUAAGAAGUUCUGGGGCAUUUACACCUGUUGUAGUAUGGCAAAUGGGAUGGUUACUUCAUUUAUUAUAACCACUAUGCAGUAUGUGUGUGAAACCCUCACAUCAUACAUUUGAAUCUAUGGGGCAAGUGCAUUAGAAUAGAAAAAUCAUCUUUGGUAUCGUAACAACUGAAGAUUAGAAUGAAAAAGUUGACAUUAGGAAACAAAAUGUUCUUAUCUUUCACAAGUUUGGGAGAUGGUGGCUUUAUUCCUCCAGAACUUUCCUGAGAUCCCAAUUUGCUGAAUGUAUAUGGCAGUACAGGAGAUCAUGGAGAACCUGGAAACCUACCUGCUUAUGACACCUUUAAGAGGGCCCUGGUAAAGAACAAUUGUGAACUUGUACCAGAUCCUUACUUUUGGAAGUGUUUGGAGGAACUGGCCUAGGAAUCCCAAGGGAGCUGACUGUGGUGGGUUGGGCCAUGGGAUGCCACUCAUUCUUCAGAUAUGACUCCCAGAGCCUGAUCCAGACUGGAUGACCCAGAGGACAUGUGUACACCCAGAGCCACAGGUGCUUGGAACAGGCACUGAUGUGUGACUGAGGUCCUGGGAUGUUUCCCUGUGCCCAGCACCUGUAGGUGUUGGCAGGGACUUCCUGUCCUGCUGACCUUGCAGCCCCAGUCUUUACCCUCCAUGUGACACGGACAAUGACAACAGAAUAUGUCUUCUGACUCUGGCAAAUGUCCUCUUGGUGGGAUCCUUCCUGGGAGAGCCUUUAUCCAGCAGCUGAUGGAAGUAGAAGCAGAUACUCACAGCUAAACACUGAACUGAACUGGAAUCCAGUUGCAGAGAAGGAGGAGUGAUGAGCAAAGUGGACAAGACCAGGCUGGUGAAACCCACAGAAACAGCUGACCUGAAUAAGUGGGAGCUCUUGGCCCCCAGACUGAUCACUGGGAAACCAGCAUGGGACUAUUCCAGACCCCAUGAAUGUGGGUGUCAGUGAGGAGGCCUCGGAAAUCUAUGGGGCCUCUUGUAGUAGAGCAAUACUUAUCCCUAGCAUAGGAAUGGACUUUGGGAGCCCAUUUCAUAUAGAGGGAUACUCCCUCAUCCUAGACACAUGGGGGAGGGCCUAGGCCCUAUCCCAAAGGAUAUGACAGAAUCUGAAGACCCUCUAUGGAAGACCUCACUCUCUGGGGAGCAGAAAUCUUAUGGGAUAGGUAGGGU